rnacentral:rRNA from 1 species
UACGUAGGGGGCCAGCGUUGUCCGGAAUCAUUGGGCGUAAAGCGCGUGUAGGCGGCCCGGUAAGUCCGCUGUGAAAGUCCAGGGCUCAACCCUGGGAUGCCGGUGGAUACUGUCGGGCUCGAGUCCGGAAGAGGCGAGUGGAAUUCCUGGUGUAGCGGUGAGAUGCGCAGAUAUCAGGAGGAACACCAAUGGCGAAGGCAGCUCGCUGGGACGGUACUGACGCUGAGGCGCGAAAGCGUGGGGAGCAAACAGG